AACGAACGCUGGCGGCAGGCCUAACACAUGCAAGUCGAACGCCCUAGCAAUAGGGAGUGGCAGACGGGUGAGUAACACGUGGGAACGUGCCCUUCGGUUCGGAAUAACUCAGGGAAACUUGAGCUAAUACCGGAUACGUGCGAGAGCAGAAAGAUUUAUCGCCGAAGGAUCGGCCCGCGUCCGAUUAGCUAGUUGGUGAGGUAAUGGCUCACCAAGGCGACGAUCGGUAGCUGGUCUGAGAGGAUGACCAGCCACACUGGGACUGAGACACGGCCCAGACUCCUACGGGAGGCAGCAGUGGGGAAUAUUGGACAAUGGGCGCAAGCCUGAUCCAGCCAUGCCGCGUGAGUGAUGAAGGCCCUAGGGUUGUAAAGCUCUUUCACCGGGGAAGAUAAUGACGGUACCCGGAGAAGAAGCCCCGGCUAACUUCGUGCCAGCCGCCGCAGUAA
rnacentral:rRNA from 1 species